rnacentral:rRNA from 1 species
GCGAGGUGGUGCCAAUCCUAGAAAAUUCUUCGUAGUCCGGAUUGGAGUCUGCAACUCGACUCCAUGAAGUCGGAAUCGCUAGUAAUCGCGAAUCAGCAUGUCGCGGUGAAUACGUUCUCGGGUCUUGUACACACCGCCCGUCAUACCAUGGAAGUGGAUUGCACCAGAAGUAGAUAGUCUAACCUUAGGGAGGGCGUUUACCACGGUGUGCUCCAUGACUGGGGUAAAGUCGUAACAAGGUAGCCGUAGGGGAACCUGUGGCUGGAUCACCUCCUU